rnacentral:rRNA from 1 species
UACGGAGGAUGCGAGCGUUAUCCGGAUUCAUUGGGUUUAAAGGGUGCGUAGGCGGUCUAUUAAGUCAGUGGUGAAAUUUUGUGGCUCAACCAUAAGCGUGCCAUUGAAACUGAUAGACUUGAGUGCAGACGAGGCAGGCGGAAUGUAUUAUGUAGCGGUGAAAUGCAUAGAUAUAAUACAGAACCCCGAUAGCGAAGGCAGCUUGCCAGACUGUAACUGACGCUGAUGCACGAAAGCGUGGGUAGCGAACAGG